GUGCUUGCUUCAGGAACAUAUAUACUAAAGUUGGAAAGAUAAAGAAAAGUUUAGCAUGGUCCCUGCACAGGGAUGCCCUGCAAAUUUUUGAAGCAUCUCCUUCUUUU
ensembl:snRNA U6 U6 spliceosomal RNA